rnacentral:rRNA from 1 species
GUCCACGCUGUAAACGAUGAGCACUAGGUGUAGCGGGUACUCAUUCCUGCUGUGCCGCAGCUAACGCGUUAAGUGCUCCGCCUGGGGAUUACGGUCGCAAGACUAAAACUCAAAGGAAUUGACGGGGGCCCGCACAAGCGGUGGAGUAUGUGGUUUAAUUCGACGCAACGCGAAGAACCUUACCUGGGCUUGACAUCCCCGGACAGCCAUAGAAAUAUGGUCUUCUCCUUCGGGAGACCGGGAGACAGGUGCUGCAUGGCUGUCGU